rnacentral:tRNA from 1 species
GCGCGAGUAGUUUAGUGGUUAACUUUAAUGUCCAUGGAUAAUUUGACCUUGCCAAGGUUGAGACCCGAGUUCGAAUCUCGGCUCGCGCA